CCUACUGUUAUGUUAUGGUUUCUUUACUUGGCUCUCUUUUCCCUGUCAGUUUCUGAUCCCUCAUGGUCCCUUUAAUUUGUGCCUUUUCUCCUGUGUUUUCUGUUUAUUCAGUAGACUCUUGUUCGUCUCAGACCUGCAGGUGCACAGUCACCUUCUUCCCGCCUGCACCAUGCCCCGCUGUGACAAUGUGUGAAGAAAAAGCACGUGAUCACCUGUGAGAAUGACGAAGCGCUGCCACACGACUUCACCGCUCCUGUUUUUCAAGACACUCAGCUCCACUUCCCCUUCAUCACAGUUCAGAAAUACCUCAAAAGUUGGGUGGAUUGUUUGGUCAAAAUUGUAUUCAAACUCUUCAUUCUAGAGGUGAAGAGGGGAAAUUGCUGGUGAUGUUCUGAAUCCCAGUUAAAAGUGGGAACUGUUCCUCACAAAGAGCUGGGGUGGGAUUCACACCCCCAACCUGGGAGGUAUGAGCCACCCUGUGGGCUUUAAUUGCAACAUUUAAUUCACAGUAACUGCAAAUGCACUCACCCCUCUUAUGUCUUACAAAUGCAUGGAAGUUGGACCCAAUUGUGACACACAUGCCCAUAAAAGCAGACCUGAAUCCCUGUUAAUAAACAAGGCUAUACAGUUUAAAGCACAGAUAACUAUGGAUUCAAGCUGGUGCACUCAAACUUUAGAGUGGUACUGUAUGUCAGCUGGACAUUGGAUAUAUUAAUAUGUGUUCGUUGGUCGUGGUUUGGGUCGUCACCUCUGGCUGGAUCCCCCUUAUAGCCUCGUGGUCACAGGAAAUCCUGUAUCGCUCAUUAUGAAUGAGUUUGCACUUAGAGCUGGUAGGAAUGAAAAUGUUUUGUCUCUGUUGCUCCUGCUUGUGCACCUGCGUUGCAUAAACGCAUGCUUGUAAACGCAUGAUGCAAUCACACCUCAUUAUGUAAUAACAAAAUGAAACAAGUUUACAUACCAUAAUGUGUGUUACACAUGUGUUACACACCACAGAUUAGUAUUAAUUUCUGAGAUUUCAAAUAUUAUUGAAGCAUCUGUGCUGGUCAGAUGGUGUGACCGGGUGGGAGAUGAUGUGUGUGGCUGAGCACCGGUGAAAUAAUCAGGCAUGGAAAUGCUCACCUGGUCAGGAGGCACAUUCAGGGGCAGCAAGAACACAUUCAAGACUUUAUCUAUGGGCCGGAGCA